CAGUGGGGAAUAUUGCACAAUGGGCGCAAGCCUGAUGCAGCCAUGCCGCGUGUAUGAAGAAGGCCUUCGGGUUGUAAAGGUACUUUCAGCAGUGAGGAAGGUGGGUAUGGUUAAUAGCAUACUCAUUUGACGUUAGCUGCAGAAGAAGCACCGGCUAACUCCGUGCCAGCAGCCGCGGUAAUACGGAGGGUGCGAGCGUUAAUCGGAAUUACUGGGCGUAAAGCGCAUGCAGGUGGUUUGUUAAGUCAGAUGUGAAAGCCCGGGGCUCAACCUCGGAAUUGCAUUUGAAACUGGCAAACUAGAGUACUGUAGAGGGGGUAGAAUUUCAGGUGUAGCGGUGAAAUGCGUAGAGAUCUGAAGGAAUACCGGUGGCGAAGGCGGCCCCCUGGACAGAUACUGACACUCAGAUGCGAAAGCGUGGGGAGCAAACAGGAUUAGAUACCCUGGCAA
rnacentral:rRNA from 1 species